CCUACGGGGGGCUGCAGUAAGGAAUAUUGGACAAUGGGCGCAAGCCUGAUCCAGCCAUGCCGCGUGAGUGAAGAAGGCCUUCGGGUUGUAAAGCUCUUUCAAACGUGAAGAUAAUGACGGUAGCGUUAGAAGAAGCUCCGGCUAAAUUCGUGCCAGCAGCCGCGGUAAUACGAAUGGAGCAAGCGUUGUUCGGAAUCACUGGGCUUAAAGCGUGCGUAGGCGGUUUUGCAAGUCAGAAGUGAAAGCCUGGGGCUCAACCCCAGAAUUGCUUUUGA
rnacentral:rRNA from 1 species